rnacentral:ncRNA from 1 species
CCAAAGGCUCUUUUCAGAGCCAUUAACCUCUAUUUUGCCAGUGAUU